GAUGAACGCUAGCGGCAGGCUUAACACAUGCAAGUCGAGGGGUAUUGGUUUUCGGACCAAGAGACCGGCGCACGGGUGCGUAACGCGUAUGCAAUCUACCUUUUGCAGAGGGAUAGCCCAGAGAAAUUUGGAUUAAUACCUCAUAGUAUAGUACUUUGGCAUCAAGGAACUAUUAAAGUCACAACGGCAAAAGAUGAGCAUGCGUCCCAUUAGCUAGUUGGUAAGGUAACGGCUUACCAAGGCUACGAUGGGUAGGGGUCCUGAGAGGGAGAUCCCCCCACACUGGUACUGAGACACGGACCAGACUCCUACGGGAGGCAGCAGUGAGGAAUAUUGGACAAUGGGCGCAAGCCUGAUCCAGCCAUGCCGCGUGCAGGAUGACGGUCCUAUGGAUUGUAAACUGCUUUUAUACAGGAAGAAACACUCCGACGUGUCGGAGCUUGACGGUACUGUAAGAAUAAGGAUCGGCUAACGUCCGUGCCAGCAGCCG
rnacentral:rRNA from 1 species